GAUGAACGCUGGCGGCGUGCCUAAUACAUGCAAGUCGAGCGAAAAGACGAGGAGCUUGCUCCUCUGACGUUAGCGGCGGACGGGUGAGUAACACGUGGAUAACCUACCUAUAAGACUGGGAUAACUUCGGGAAACCGGAGCUAAUACCGGAUAAUAUAUUGCACCGCAUGGUUCAAUAGUGAAAGACGGUUUUGCUGUCACUUAUAGAUGGAUCCGCGCCGCAUUAGCUAGUUGGCAAGGUAACGGCUUAUCAAGGCAACGAUGCGUAGCCGACCGGAGAGGCGGAUCGGCCACACUGGAACUGGAACGCGGUCCUGACGCCUGCGGGAGGCAGCAGUAGGGAAUCGGCCGCAGAGGUCGAAAGCCUGACGGAGCAACGCCGCGUGAGUGGUGAAGGUCUUCGGAUCGUAAAACUCUGUUAUGAGGGGAGAACAAAUGUGGAAUGAACUAUGCACGGCUUGACGGUACCGAAUCAGAAAGCCCCGGCUAACUACGUG
rnacentral:rRNA from 1 species